rnacentral:rRNA from 1 species
UGAGUAAUGCAUAGAUAAUGUGCCCUUAGUUCGGGAUAGCCACUGGAAACGGUGAUUAAUACCGGAUACUCCUUCUUGUUAUAAGACAAGUCGGGAAAGUUUUUCGCUAAGGGAUCAGUCUAUGUUCCAUCAGCUUGUUGGUGAGGUAAUGGCUCACCAAGGCUAUGACGGAUAUCUGGUUUGAGAGGAUGAUCAGACACACUGGAACUGAGACACGGUCCAGACUCCUACGGGAGGCAGCAGUGAGGAAUAUUGCACAAUGGAGGAAACUCUGAUGCAGCAACGCCGCGUGGAGGAUGACGCAUUUCGGUGUGUAAACUCCUUUUAUUAGGGAAGAUAAUGACGGUACCUAAUGAAUAAGCACCGGCUAACUCCGUGCCAGCAGCCGCGGUAAUACGGAGGGUGCAAGCGUUACUCGGAAUCACUGGGCGUAAAGGGUGCGUAGGCUGGCUUUUAAGUCAGAUGUGAAAUCCAAUGGCUCAACCAUUGAACUGCAUUUGAAACUGAAAGCCUAGAGUUCAGAAGGGGCAGAUGGAAUUAGUGGUGUAGGGGUAAAAUCCGUAGAUAUCACUAGGAAUAUCAAAAGCGAAGGCGAUCUG